rnacentral:rRNA from 1 species
UACGUAGGGUCCAAGCGUUAUCCGGAAUCACUGGGCGUAAAGCGUGCGUAGGUGGAUUGUUAAGUGCGAUGCGAAAUCCUGUGGCUCAACCAUAUGGACUGUAUCGCAUACUGGCUAUCUAGAGGACAUGAGAGGCAAGUGGAAUUACUGGUGUAGCAGUGAAAUGCGUAGAGAUCAGUAGGAACACCAAUGGCGAAGGCAGCUUGCUGGCAUGUAUCUGACGCUAAGGCACGAAAGCGUGGGGAGCGAACAGG